rnacentral:lncRNA from 1 species
CUCAAUUCCUCAGGAUGUGAGGAAAUGAAGCAAAGGAAAAAUACCUCUCCCCUCCCACCUUGAGCAUAGCUCCCUGUCAGCACCGCAGCCUGGGAACCAAGGUGGAGAGAAGAUGUGAUCACACUGCUCUUGGCUAUUGGGACUGUCACCAGACAGGGUCUGAAGGGGUCUCUGAAGUGGAGCUGGGGAACCUCAUCUUACUCCACCCACAGGACUCUCAUUAAGGAGGUAAAGUGAUGAAAGUUUCUUGGAAAGAAAGAACUGCAGAGGUUCGCAGCCAAAUCAUAAGACAAUGAGUUGCCCACUGAAUCAAAGAGGGAAGCAGGACAUAACAAACAGGUGAAAAAAGCCAGCCCCCACGGACCAGCCUCCUAUAGCAGAAGCUAUGAGGAAAACCACACAGCAGAGAAAAAUACUCAUGUAAAGAUCUGUGCACCAUGCUUAAGCUAUAUGAAGAAAAGGUCCAAAUAAAUCUAAUACCUAAACAACACACUGGAGCAGAGGGCUGCAGAUGAACUUGGACAGAUACUUUCUCAGCAGAUAUACACCAUCACAGGAACAGAGUACCUCUGAGCAUGACUCCCUUCAGUCAGCAUGGAAGAUUAAUGAAACCAGCUUUUAACUCUAAAAUUAUAAAAUGAUAUAAUGCAGAAUAAACAUAAUUAUUUGUUUGUUUGUUUUGUUUUGGUACCGGGGAUUGAACUCGGGACUUUGCAUUUGUGAGGCAGGCAGUAGAACCACUGAGCUAAAUCCCCGGCCCUAAGCAUAAUUGUUGUCAGAGCAGACACAGACCUUCUGGCAUUAUAUGGAAAGAUAUCUGAUGUAUUGCAUAAACCCGGAUCCCUCUAGCAUUUCCUCAGACUUCCCUUCUUCAUCCAGCUGCACUUGUGCUUUUCGUCCUUAAACAUGUAUCUGCUUUGAACCUGAUGGAUCAGGUGAUUCCAAACUACACUUUCCCCUGGGCUACUCACCAUUUCUAGUUCAUCUCCUGGGCAAAUAUCCCAACCCUUGGAAGUUAGGCACACAGUCUGUGCAUGUACUAAGCAUGUGGCUUUCUGCAUAUGUCUGCACAUCAUUUUUCAGGAAACUCUAUUUCACACUGCACCAGCUUGCUGAGUAGCUGUUGUUCACACCCACUGAGAAAUAACUCCAUGUGAGAAUAAUACCUUUACAACUUUGAAAUGUCCUCAGACAGACUUCUCAUCUCCAGGCCAUCAACCUGCUGUGAACUCUCAUCCUGACUUUUCACACUUACAGGCAACAGUCAUGCAACAUACUGUCAAACAAUAUGAAGGUUUGGGGAGAUGUGGAGGAGUGAAAAAUUUUAAAUUGGAGCCUGAACAUCUUUUGAGAUGGGUGUAAUUUUUAAUAAUUAAAAAAUCUAUCACACAUACAA